rnacentral:rRNA from 1 species
GCUUACGGCCAUACCAACCUGGCUAUGCCCGAUCUCGUUUGAUCUCGGAAGCUAAGCAGGUUUGGGCCUGGUUAGUACUUGGAUGGGAGACCGCCUUGAAAUACCAGGUGCUGUAAGCU